rnacentral:rRNA from 1 species
CCUACGGGUGGCUGCAGUGGGGCAUAUUGCGCAAUGGGCGAAAGCCUGACGCAGCGACGCCGCGUGCGGGAUGAAGGUCUUCGGAUCGUAAACCUCUGUCAGCAGGGAAGAACGGUCACUGUGCUAAUCAGCAGUGAAUUGACGGUACCUGCAAAUGAAGCACCGGCUAACUCCGUGCCAGCAGCCGCGGUAAUACGGAGGGUGCGAGCGUUAAUCGGAAUUACUGGGCGUAAAGCGCCCGUAGGCGGUAUGUCAAGUCAAGGGUGAAAUCCCCGCGCUCAACGUGGGAACUGCCUCUGAUACUGGCAAGCUGGAGUGUGAGAGAGGGGAGUAGAAUUCCAGGUGU